rnacentral:misc_RNA from 1 species
GAUGAAGAACGCAGCGAAAUGCGAUACGUAAUGUGAAUUGCAGAAUUCAGUGAAUCAUCGAGUCUUUGAACGCACAUUGCGCCCCCUGGUAUUCCGGGGGGCAUGCCUGUCCGAGCGUCAUUGCUGCCCUCAAGCACGGCUUGUGUGUUGGGCCUCCGUCCUACUCCCGGGGGACGGGCCCGAAAGGCAGCGGCGGCACCGCGUCCGGUCCUCGAGCGUAUGGGGCUUCGUCACCCGCUCUUGUAGGCCCGGCCGGCGCUUGCCGACACAUCAAUCUUUUUUCCAGGUUGACCUCGGAUCAGGUAGGGAUACCCGCUGAACUUAAGCAUAUCAAUAAGCGGAGGA